UUUUAGUGGGGAAUAGCCCAGAGAAAUUUGGAUUAAUACCCCGUAACAUAACCGAGUGGCAUCACUUGGUUAUUAUAGCUUCGGCGCUAAAUGAUGGGUGUGCGUAUGAUUAGAUAGUUGGCGAGGUAACGGCUCACCAAGUCUACGAUCAUUAGCUGAUGUGAGAGCAUGAUCAGCCACACGGGCACUGAGACACGGGCCCGACUCCUACGGGAGGCAGCAGUAAGGAAUAUUGGUCAAUGGACGCAAGUCUGAACCAGCUAUGCCGCGUGAAGGAUUAAGGUCCUCUGGAUUGUAAACUUCUUUUAUCUGGGACGAAAAAAGGUCUUUCUAGACCCCUUGACGGUACCAGAAGAAUAAGCACCGGCUAACUCCGUGCCAGCAGCCGCGGUAAUACGGAGGGUGCAAGCGUUAUCCGGAUUCACUGGGUUUAAAGGGUGCGUAGGCGGGCAGGUAAGUCAGUGGUGAAAUCCUGGAGCUCAACUCCAGAACUGCCAUUGAUACUAUCUGUCUUGAAUAUUGUGGAGGUAAGCGGAAUAUGUCAUGUAGCGGUGAAAUGCUUAGAUAUGACAUAGAACACCCAUUGCGAAGGCAGCUUACUACGCAUAUAUUGACGCUGAGGCACGAAAGCGUGGGGAUCAAACAGGAUUAGAUACCCUGGUAGUCCACGCCCUAAACGAUGGAUACUCGACAUACGCGAUACACUGUGUGUGUCUGAGCGAAAGCAUUAAGU
rnacentral:rRNA from 1 species